rnacentral:other from 1 species
CAGGAGCUGCCCGGUGCGUCAGGCAAGACAUCCCCUGGGCCGUUAAGCAACUUCCCUUGGGAACUGGCUCUGUUCAGGCCGUGGUCUGAAUAUCUGGUGCCCACCUGCACAAGCAGGCCUUGGGAGGAUGCAAGUGCCAACGGCCAGGGUGGCUCCACA